rnacentral:rRNA from 1 species
UACGUAGGGUGCGAGCGUUGUCCGGAAUUACUGGGCGUAAAGAGCUCGUAGGUGGUUUGUCGCGUUGUUCGUGAAAUCCCACGGCUUAACUGUGGGCGUGCGGGCGAUACGGGCAGACUGGAGUACUGCAGGGGAGACUGGAAUUCCUGGUGUAGCGGUGGAAUGCGCAGAUAUCAGGAGGAACACCGGUGGCGAAGGCGGGUCUCUGGGCAGUAACUGACGCUGAGGUGCGAAAGCGUGGGGAGCAAACAGG